rnacentral:rRNA from 1 species
CAUUAGCUAGUUGGAGGGGUAACGGCCCACCAAGGCGACGAUGCGUAGCCGGCCUGAGAGGGUGGACGGCCACACUGGGACUGAGACACGGCCCAGACUCCUACGGGAGGCAGCAGUAGGGAAUUUUCGGCAAUGGACGAAAGUCUGACCGAGCAACGCCGCGUGAGGGAGGAAGUACUUCGGUAUGUAAACCUCUGUUAUAAAGGAAGAACGGUAUAAUCAGGGAAUGGGUUAUAAGUGACGGUACUUUAUGAGGAAGCCACGGCUAACUACGUGCCAGCAGCCGCGGUAAUACGUAGGUGGCGAGCGUUAUCCGGAAUCAUUGGGCGUAAAGAGGGAGCAGGCGGCAGCAAGGGUCUGCGGUGAAAGACCGAAGCUAAACUUCGGUAAGCCGUGGAAACCGGGCAGCUAGAGAGCAUCAGAGGAUCGCGGAAUUCCAUGUGUAGCGGUGAAAUGCGUAGAUAUAUGGAGGAACACCAGUGGCGAAGGCGGCGAUCUGGGGUGCAACUGACGCUCAGUCCCGAAAGCGUGGGGAGCAAAUAGGAUUAGAUACCCUAGUAGUCCACGCCGUAAACGAUGAGUACUAAGUGUUGGGGGUCAGACCUCA